AGUGAACGCUGGCGGUAGGCCUAGCACAUGCAAGUCGAACGGCAGCACAGGAGAGCUUGCUCUCUGGGUGGCGAGUGGCGGACGGGUGAGGAAUACAUCGGAAUCUACUCUGUCGUGGGGGAUAACGUAGGGAAACUUACGCUAAUACCGCAUACGACCUACGGGUGAAAGCGGGGGAUCUUCGGACCUUGCGCGAUUGAAUGAGCCGAUGUCGGAUUAGCUAGUUGGCGGGGUAAAGGCCCACCAAGGCGACGAUCCGUAGCUGGUCUGAGAGGAUGGUCAGCCACACUGGAACUGAGACACGGUCCAGACUCCUACGGGAGGCAGCAGUGGGGAAUAUUGGACAAAGGGCGCAAGCCUGAUCCAGCCAUACCGCGUGGGUGAAGAAGGCCUUCGGGUUGUAAAGCCCUUUUGUUGGGAAAGAAAUCCAGCUGGCUAAUACCCGGUUGGGAUGACGGUACCCAAAGAAUAAGCACCGGCUAACUUCGUGCCAGCCGCCGCCGUAA
rnacentral:rRNA from 1 species